AGCGAACGCUGGCGGCAGGCCUAACACAUGCAAGUCGAACGAUCCUUCGGGAUAGUGGCGGACGGGUGAGUAACACGUGGGAACGUGCCCUUUGGUUCGGAAUAACUCAGGGAAACUUGAGCUAAUACCGGAUGAGCCCUUCGGGGGAAAGAUUUAUCGCCAUUGGAGCGGCCCGCGUUGGAUUAGCUAGUUGGUGGGGUAAAGGCCCACCAAGGCUACGAUCCAUAGCUGGUCUGAGAGGAUGAUCAGCCACACUGGGACUGAGACACGGCCCAGACUCCUACGGGAGGCAGCAGUGGGGAAUCUUGCGCAAUGGGCGAAAGCUUGACGCAGCCAUGCCGCGUGAAUGAUGAAGGUCUUAGGAUUGUAAAAUUCUUUCACCGGGGACGAUAAUGACGGUACCCGGAGAAGAAGCCCCGGUUAACUUCGUGCCAGCAGCCGCAGUAAUAC
rnacentral:rRNA from 1 species